CUGAAAAAAUGGUAGAGCUGAGCUGGCUCCUUAGGAGUAUGUGCUCGCUCUAUUGCCUUUUCUACUCUCCACUGUGCACCUCUUGUAGGCUACGAUCUUUCAGCUCGAAAGGGUCGACUUUCAGAGGGCUUAGCAGUUCAUUUGCUUGACCUCGACUUCGUAGCCUAUGUCUUACAUACACUCUGUCGAAGUAUAUGAAUGUGUAUUGUUGGUCUUUGACCGAUAAACUAUAUA
rnacentral:misc_RNA from 1 species